rnacentral:rRNA from 1 species
UACGUAGGGGGCAAGCGUUGUCCGGAAUUAUUGGGCGUAAAGAGCGUGUAGGCGGUCCGGUAAGUCGGCUGUGAAAGUCCAGGGCUCAACCCUGGGAUGCCGGUCGAUACUGCCGGACUAGAGUGCGGAAGGGGCAAUCGGAAUUCUCGGUGUAGCGGUGAAAUGCGUAGAUAUCGAGAGGAACACCAGAGGUGAAGACGGGUUGCUGGGCCGACACUGACGCUGACAGCGCGAAAGCCAGGGGAGCAAACGGG